CUCUAGCAUGUGGGGGAAAGGCUGUAAUGUGAGUGAGUGACACUGGGAGGAGGGAGAGAGAGAGGUGCUGCUCUAGCAUGUGGGGGAAAGGCUGUAAUGUGAGUGAGUGACACUGGGAGGAGGGAGAGAGAGAGGUGCUGCUCUAGCAUGUGGGGGAAAGGCUGUAAUGUGAGUGAGUGACACUGGGAGGAGGGAGAGAGAGAGGUGCUGCUCUAGCAUGUGGGGGAAAGGCUGUAAUGUGAGUGAGUGACACUGGGAGGAGGGAGAGAGAGAGGUGCUGCUCUAGCAUGUGGGGGAAAGGCUGUAAUGUGAGUGAGUGACACUGGGAGGAGGGAGAGAGAGAGGUGCUGCUCUAGCAUGUGGGGGAAAGGCUGUAAUGUGAGUGAGUGACACUGGGAGGAGGGAGAGAGAGAGGUGCUGCUCUAGCAUGUGGGGGAAAGGCUGUAAUGUGAGUGAGUGACACUGGGAGGAGGGAGGGAGAGAGGUGCUGCUCUAGCAUGUGGGGGAAAGGCUGUAAUGUGAGUGAGUGACACUGGGAGGAGGGAGAGAGAGAGGUGCUGCUCUAGCAUGUGGGGGAAAGGCUGUAAUGUGAGUGAGUGACACUGGGAGGAGGGAGGGAGAGAGGUGCUGCUCUAGCAUGUGGGGGAAAGGCUGUAAUGUGAGUGAGUGACACUGGGAGGAGGGAGGGAGAGAGGUGCUGCUCUAGCAUGUGGGGGAAAGGCUGUAAUGUGAGUGAGUGACACUGGGAGGAGGGAGAGAGAGAGGUGCUGCUCUAGCAUGUGGGGGAAAGGCUGUAAUGUGAGUGAGUGACACUGGGAGGAGGGAGGGAGAGAGGUGCUGCUCUAGCAUGUGGGGGAAAGGCUGUAAUGUGAGUGAGUGACACUGGGAGGAGGGAGGGAGAGAGGUGCUGCUCUAGCAUGCGGGGGAAAGGCUGUAAUGUGAGUGAGUGACACUGGGAGGAGGGAGG